rnacentral:rRNA from 1 species
GAUGAACGCUGGCGGCGUGCCUAAUACAUGCAAGUCGAACGAAGUACUUCGGUACUUAGUGGCGAACGGGUGAGUAAUACGUAAGCAACCUGCCUAUGGGACUGGGAUAACGUUUGGAAACGGACGCUAAUACCGGAUAGGUGGUGGGAAGGCAUCUUUCCACCAUUAAAGUUUAGAUACACCGAUAGAUGGGCUUACGGCGCAUUAGCUAGUUGGUGAGGUAACGGCUCACCAAGGCGAUGAUGCGUAGCCGGACUGAGAGGUUGAACGGCCACAUUGGGACUGAGACACGGCCCAA